ACCCCUGAGGCACAGUGACGCUGUGGAAAAGAUCCAAUGGACCACUGAGCCUUUUUCUGUACUGAAGAAAUUCAAGACAAUUAAUAUAGGAAUAUGUCAGGCCACAUUUGAAACCAGGGUACUACAGGUGGACAUUCAGAUGGGCAUCUUAGUAACUGUAACGUCAACCUCUGACAGAAUUACUCAAUUCACCAGGACCUGGA